rnacentral:lncRNA from 1 species
GUCCCCUUCUGCAGCCUUUCCUGGAGGUUUGCUUAAGAAGGUCGAGAGAGGGAAUUAGCCAGAGACAACACGUUUCUCUUCGCAGUGGUUGGAAGUCAGUAGAAGCUGGAUGGGGAAGGGCUGGAAUGGGAACCCGACUUCAGGUACGUGCGUUCCUCAUUCAUGCUGAGCCCUGGGCUCUGGACGGCACCACACAGGCCUGCAUGCUGGCGAGGCUGGUGCAGAGAGGUGAGUCAUCCAUUCUUCAUGGCACAGCUGUCGCCUUCCUGAAACUCACAUUAGACACGCGCUCAUAGAAUCAAAUGUACCACAUGCAGCCAUUACAGACGGGCACACCAACCCCAGACUGCUGUUGCCAGGUAUGUGCGUGGUUCCUCUCACUCGCUGGUCCUGCAGAGCCUGGGGAUGUCUGCAAGGAUGAAAUGAGGUACAGAUAAGGUUCACUGAGGCCACUUUUCUCUAUUUUUGUGCUAAAGUGACCAAGAAUAAAAACUCUGGUCACCUGGUAGCCCCUGCACUAGAGGCCAAGUGUGGUGGCUCACACCUGUAAUCCCAGUACUUUGGGAGGCUGAGGUGGGCGGAUCACGAGGUCAAGAGAUUGAGACCAUCCUGGCCAACAUAGUGAAACCCCAUCUCUACUAAAAAUACAAAAAUUAGCUGGACGUGGUGGUGCACACCUGUCAUCCCAGCUACUCGGGAGGCUGAGGCAGAAGAAUUGCUUGAACCUGGGAGGCAGAGGUUGCAGUGAGCCAAGAUCGCGCCACUGCACUCCAGCCUCAUGACAGAGAGAGGCUCCCUCUCAAAAAAAGAAAAAAAAAAAAGUAAGUCUACAUAUAUUCCAAUCAAUGGAUGCCUGCGAGACCGUGAACCAAACCUAAGCACCUAGAGGCUCCAGUGCAUCUGUUUGGCCGGCACAUUGGUUGUAUCCACUUAGAGAAUAACCACUCGCUUAGGAAGCAUCCAGCCAGCCCUCCCUGCUGUGUGCCAGGCCUGGGCUGGGUGCUGGGGUGCAGAAAGAGGCAAGGCAGGUGGUGCCUCCCCAGGACCCCGGCUUCUCUCCAUGUCCCAUCGGGGGGUCUCCUGAAUCUGAGCAUUUCCCCAAAGCGAGUGCAUUUUAAGUUCUUUUACAAAUAAUAUUUCCAAGGACUGAAACCAAAAGGCCCCAGUGGAAAGAAGGGGUUUAUAUUACCACUCUCCCAGCCCUGCUGCCUAACCUAGAAGCAUCAGAGGCAGAUGGCUUCUUGGAGGUCACCCAGUGCAGGGUUUCUUUAGGUCAAAAGAGAGUGUGGUGACAGUGUUGUGAUGUGUAAUGCAUUCAGGAGGUGUAACUCAGGCUCUACCUGCAAACCCAGGGUACAGUCUGCUGCUGAGAGGCUGUCAGAGUGGUGAGUAGCCACUCAUACCACCUGUCAUCAGAGAAUGAGGAGCGAGCAGGGGAGGGGCAGGCCGUGUGGCCUCCGGAGAUGGCAGCAGACGGAGAUCCGGGCAGAGAAAGAAGCACCUGCCUUGCCUCCUUCCCUCCUUUGCCUGUCCAAAGGUGAAUGAUAUGAGUCGGGCAGUGUGCAUGUCUUCCCAGAAGAAAAAAUGAGGCUCAGAUGUGACUCGGUGUCCCCGGUGAGUGGGUGCAUCAUAAAUGUCAGACAUUGACUGCACCGAAAAGCCUUCUUGGGCUGUCUUCACCGUCUUGUUCUUGGCUUUGGACUCCUGAGCUGCACAAUAAGGAUGUGCAUGGUGCUGCUGACCGUAUGCUCCCCCGACAGUUCCAGGAAGGUGCAGAGUGCUGACAGCCACGCCCUGGAGCUUGCGCUUGCCAGUGCUUACUCUCAGAACUGACUCCUGAGGGAAGGCAAGUGUUUGAAUUGACUUUCUCCAAGGUUCUCACUCUUAGGAAGAUGCAGGUGGAGUUAUCUGUGAUUCUCCCUGUAGGUCAGUGUCUCUGGGAUGCCUUCCCCUUCCUUGACCUCCAUGGGGCCUUCCUCAGCUGAUCACUCACUGUUCCUGCCUCCCAGCCGAUGGCUCUGAUUCUCAAUGGCUUCUGCAUAGUGAAUGCUGUCAGGCAAUCUUCCUGGAUAUCUCCUUCACGACGUUGCUCCUUCUGCCUGAGAAUCUGUAACGAGCACGGAAGGAAGGAGCGGGUUUCCUUCUGGUGCACAGCUCUGCCUCCCUGGUUGCCUGCUGCCUUUCUGAAAGUCCCCUCUUGUGUAUGCAUCAGCCCCCGAUUGAUACGGCCACAGAGUAGGUGGACACCUGCAUGCCUCAGUUUCCUCACGGAAGAAGCAGAGAUGCGUUCACAGGGAACCACGUAAGGAGCUUCUAGAUACAAGCCUCACCCCUGAGGACAAAACUGACUUUCCUCAGGACCCAAAAGUCCCGGGGAUUUUGGUUUCUUUAUGGCCGGGAGUCAGGAAAGACCCUGCCUGCCCAGUGGCGAGGACACGUGGCCUCUCCUUCUCUGCUUCCUCGGGACAGGAAAUGGCAGGCAGCACCUCGCUUUAAUCCAUGUCCAGCCCAACACCCCUUCCUAUGUUGGAAAACUCAUAGAAUCCAUCCGGGGAAGAAAAGGUGCUGCAGUUCCAGUUGCAACGACACCCUCUGUUCACUGCUGCCCGGGCCCUGUGGCACUGGUUUUCACCUCACCUUUCAGGCCUUUCUAGGAAAAAAUCCUGCAAUGAAGCUUGUGGAGAUCCUUGAAGAUGAGACCAGUGGAGCCUGGUCUAACCCCAAGGCGAGUGGGGAGGCCCGGGCAGGGAGUGCGUGGGGGCUGCACUUGCUGUUUUCCACGCAGCACCAAGGAUGGCUUCCCUCCCAGGAUCCUGCCCUGGCUAAUGACAUUGAACCUGCAUCAUGCAUCUGCACCGCCUCCCGGAGUCCGAGGACCGUGCUGCACAGCCUCCUUCUGGGACUGAAGUUGGAGGAGUGAGAAGGGAGGGUUCCCUCCUCCUUCUGAAGUCUGAGGACAGGCUCCUUCUGACUGAGGAAAGGAAACAUCAUUAUUGCUUAUGAGAGGAUGGGAAGGGAACCACCCCCCACAGAAGGCAAACCAGUCUUGGCGUCUCCAGGAAGCUCGGCAUCUGGAGAGUGGUUGGCUACGCUGGUGUCUCCUCUCUCUCUCACUUUUCCUCGACUGUACUUACAGAAAAGUGUGCAUGCCGUGAGUGUUCAGCCAGUUGAAGUUUUAUAAGCGGAGCCCACUCUGAAGCCAUGCCCCGCCGGCAUCCCAGACCCUAUCCGCGCCCCUGCCCCGGGCGGCCGCCAUCCGGUUCCCAGAAGCAAGGCUGGCUCUGCCUGUCCUUGGACUUCAUACACUGGCAGCAAACAGCGUGUGCCCUUUUGUUUCUGGCUCUUUUGCUCAGUGGUGUUUGUCCCACCUCUUUGGAGGGAUCUAAAACCCAAGCAGGGUUACCAGUGUGUGGGUCCCACAGGCAGCUUCCCAGUAGGAUGUCAGGAAAAGAAAGGUGAUGAGCUCAGAGGCAACUUAAGCCCAAAGCCAGAGAGACCAAUGUUGUCUCCAGAGCUGGUCCCCACAAUGUGGUGCAGAGCUCUGACCACUUGUCCCCAGCAUGCAGGCUGCGCAAGGCUGGGGGAAGUCCUCCUGUCCUGGUGGCCCCAGAAGCCAAUGGAAGAGGCGUGACUUCUCAGGGCCCCCAGCACUCUGUCACAUUCACACACGCUUUCCUGGUGCUAGGAACUGAGUGUUUGUGUCUCCCCCAGAUUCCCACGUUGAAAUCCUCACCCGCGUGAAGAUGGUGUUAGGAGGUCAGACCUUUGGAAGGUGAUGAGGUCAUGAGGGUGGAGCCCCAACGAAUGGGAUUAGUGCCCUCAUGAAAGAGACACAAGAGAGAUGAUCUCUUUCCUCCGAUUGAGGACACAGCAGGAAGCCUGCCCGUCUGCAACCAAGAAGCCAGCCUGCAGCAGAAUCUGACGGUGCAGGCGCCCGGAUCUCAGAACUGCCAGCCUGCAGAACUCAGAGGAGAGACAUGUCUGUUGUUUGUAGGUCACCCAGUCAGCGGUUCUUUUUAUAGCAGCCUGAACUGACUAAGACACUUGGGAAGGCUUGUUCCUUUUUGGUUUUGGUUCUUGUUUUGUUUUAACCUAACCAAAUUCUUGACCCAGUUAUUUAGAAAAGAGAAGCCAUGUCUUCUGAGGCGCCAGUCUUCAACAGGGAAGGCCUCCAGUGGUCUCGGAGUCUGCUGUUUGCUAGGUUGGGAGAAGCUCCUGCACUUCUUAAAACCCUUCUAAGGCAACUUAUAGAUCAUGAAAGCCAUGAAAUCAUUGUUUUUUAAUUGUUUCUCACACUAUUAAUUCAGGAGGGAGAUCUUUACCUUUCAUCCUAUUUUGUGCACGAGGAAAAAAGUAGGAAUUGAGGUCAAGUUAGGCAGGGACCUCGGAGUCCUUUUGGGAGUGUAAGGGCUGGCCAUGCCAACAGAUAAGAUGGAGCUUUUUACAAAAAUAUUUAUUUAUUUUAAAAUAGAGAUGAGGACUCACUAAGUUGCCUAGGCUGGUCACGAACUCCUGGCCUCAAGCAGUCCUCCUGCCGUGGCCUCCCAAAGUGCUGGGAUUACAGGCGUGAGAUGGAUCUUGUUGUGACACUGUCGGCAUGAGUGUGCGGUCGCCACACAGUCUUGGUGACUUAGCCUUUCAUGUUAGCUGUGAUUAGGGUUGUGUCGUUCAUGAGAACAGCUCUGGAGAAAGGCCUUGGGUAAGGCAUGAAAUGGUUUUUCUCUUCCUUGAGCUUCAUUUAUUUUUCCCCCUCAGGAUGCUUGCAGAUGUUAGGACUACGCCCACAUGCUAAGAGCACCUGGGAAGGUGAUGGGAUUCCUGUGGGCUCCUUAUCAGGUGGACUCAGGAAGGUGGUGGACUUCCUGUGGGCCCCUCUUCAGAUGUGCCUGGGAGGGGCGGCUGUGGUGUUGAAAGCUCAUUUGGCCAGGGUUGAAUUAGCAGAGUGCAUUGAGAAAUGGAACUCAAGCCCAGUGUGAUCUUCUGGGAAAAGCUGACACCAGAAAACAAAAGAGAGCAAGAGAGAAGACAGUGGGUGAAGUCCUGGUUCCAGACUCCCCUUUUUGCCGGGAUAUGAUGGAUCUGUCAGCUGGUGCCUAGAGUCCUAGAGAGCUAGAGAUGGAGGGAAAUUCAGAUCAUCUAAACCCUUCAGCCCUUCACUGGACAGAAGAGGAAACUGAGGCUCCAUCUGCAUGACGUUCCCAGAGUCACGGCACAAAUUCAUGGAAGAAGCAGCAGGAAACUCAGUUCUCCAGUCUGGGUCCAAUGUGUGUUUUAGAAAUAUCUCCACAGGGUUAAUGACUCAAUUUUUCAUGCAUGAUUGCUAGUAAUGACAAUCAUGUUAUGUUUGUUUCUGUAGCUUUGGAAAUCACUCCUUCCACUUGAGUUUCAGGUCCCAACUGUCCACACCUGCAGGAGUGAGGUUUUGCUGAGACUGAUAAGGCACUCACAUUUUGUGGGAGUUGAAUUGUCUCUGUAGCCUAGAAUCUAGAUUUUUUUCCCUCCUCUGCUCUCAGUGAACGGAGAAUUCCAUCUCGGUACAAUCUGUGAACCAUUCUGCAGUAAGAUUGUCAUCGUCUCAUUCAUACUACCUGGUCGGUAACACAAAGGGCUGUAAUUGAUGUGGUUCAGAGACUCACAUCCAAGCAAUAAAAAUGAAUCCCUUAUGGUGGUCUGCAGCAACGCAAAUGGAUCCAGUGUCUGGCUUUAAUGGGAGUGGGGAAAUUGCUAACAGAUGACGGUAACUUUC